UACGUAGGUGGCAAGCGUUGUCCGGAUUUAUUGGGCGUAAAGAGCGUGUAGGCGGCCAGACAGGUCAGCUGUGAAAACUCGAGGCUCAACCUCGAGACGUCGGUUGAAACCGUCUGGCUAGAGUCCGGAAGAGGAGAGUGGAAUUCCCGGUGUAGAGGUGAAAUUCGUAGAUAUCGGGAGGAACACCAGUGGCGAAGGCGGCGAUCUGGGAAGAUACUGACGCUGAGGUGCGAAAGCGUGGGGAGCAAACAGG
rnacentral:rRNA from 1 species